rfam:Ashbya gossypii ATCC 10895 chromosome II, complete sequence.
AUACUUACCACAGGACGUCAGUGGAGAUCAAGAAGUCCUAUUGACCGGGUAUGCCUUUCUUAAAGGAUGCCGCACUGUCAGGCAGCUGCAACUGCACUUGUGCGUCGCAUGCAGCCUCAUGACUUUUUACCAGUGCUGGUUCCUUAGCGACAAUCACUUUCCUGCGGAAGGCGUGCUUGCUGACGUCUCAUUCUCUCGUCUGCCGCUAGGCGCUGGGGACUUCGGUUUCUGGCACUGGCGGGGGACCCUUUUUUCCUUCUGCCUGGAGAAGUAAUGUGCUGAUUACAACUUAGCACUGAGAGAGCUGGGGCCGCUGCGUCAUAGGGGCCUGCCGGGAGUGAACGAUACCUGGUUGUGGACGCGCUGGCCGCCGCCUUCGGGUAGCAGUCGGCUGUUCGCAGCUUGCAGUAGGGGUUUCACGGGGAGGUUCUGGCAAAGCGGUCUUGGUGGAGACGGGUGGGUCUUAUAAUUUUUGAUUUCUAUC